UACGAAGGGGGCUAGCGUUGCUCGGAAUCACUGGGCGUAAAGCGCACGUAGGCGGUUUGUUAAGUCGGAUGUGAAAUCCCUCGGCUCAACUGAGGAAGUGCAUCCGAAACUGGCAGGCUUGAGUACUAAAGAGGGUCGCGGAAUUCCCGGUGUAGAGGUGAAAUUCGUAGAUAUCGGGAGGAACACCGGUGGCGAAGGCGGCGACCUGGGUAGAUACUGACGCUGAGGUGCGAAAGCGUGGGGAGCAAACAGG
rnacentral:rRNA from 1 species